rnacentral:rRNA from 1 species
UACGGGGGGGGUAAGCGUUGUUCGGAAUUACUGGGCGUAAAGGGCUCGUAGGCGGCCAACUAAGUCGGACGUGAAAUCCCUCAGCUUAACUGGGGAACUGCGUCCGAUACUGGAUGGCUUGGAUUUGGGAGAGGGAUGCGGAAUUCCAGGUGUAGCGGUGAAAUGCGCAGAUAUCAGGAGGAACACCGGUGGCGAAGGCGGAUCUCUGGGCCUUACCUGACGCUGAGGCGCGAAAGCUAGGGGAGCGAACAGG